GACGAACGCUGGCGGCGUGCUUAACACAUGCAAGUCGAACGAAGAGGCGAACGGGUGAGUACUACGUGGCUAACAUGCCCUGCUUUUUGGGAUAAGCCUUGGAAAAGGGGUCUAAUACCGAAUAAAGGGGGAUGUGAUCGCGGCGUAUCAGCGUGUUGGUGGCGUGAUGGCCUACCAAGGCGGUGAGGGGUAGCCGGCCUGAGAGGGUGACCGGGUGCAUUGGGACUCGGCUACGGACCGGACUCCACCGGGGGGCAGAAGUAGGGGGUAUGGCGUCAUGGUCGGAAUCCUGAGGCAGCGACGCCGCGGGGGGGAUGAAGGCUGUCGGAUUGUAAACCUCUUACGCGAGCAAACGGUUAGCUGGCGAAGAAGCGCCGGCUAACUACGUGCCAGCAGCCGCAGUAAUAC
rnacentral:rRNA from 1 species